rnacentral:rRNA from 1 species
UACAGAGGUCCCGAGCGUUGUUCGGAUUCACUGGGCGUAAAGGGUGCGUAGGUGGCGAGGAAAGUCGGAUGUGAAAGCUCGGAGCUCAACUCCGAAAUGGCAUUGGAAACUACCUUGCUCGAGGGUUGGAGGGGGGACUGGAAUUCUCGGUGUAGCAGUGAAAUGCGUAGAUAUCGAGAGGAACACCAGUGGCGAAGGCGAGUCCCUGGACAACUCCUGGCACUGAGGCACGAAAGCUAGGGGAGCAAACAGG